GAAAAUGUCAAUAUAUUAGAGAACACGUAUAAAUUUGUACAAAUUUGACCCACGUAAAUAAAUUUGAAGAUAAUGUAGCCUUUUAAGGCCACGUAUCAGUGAGAGAUUUUUAUCGGGCGAGGAAUAAAUUAUCAAAUUAGAACUUUGAACAAACGGCCAGUCCCUUUAUAUUGCAGUAACAUAUUAUGUAUGAAAUGUGGUGUUGUGUUCUGAUCGACACAAGCAUUUACGGAGAGGUUGUUGAACUAUGCUGAUCUGAACUACGUUUUAUAAUUGUACGUAUUCGCUUAAAGCAUAAAGGGCUAUUCCAGCUACGACCAGACGGAGACAUUUCAAGUAACUUUAUCAUGAGAUACCUCGACAUUUCGGUCUCAGACGGUUUCUGCAGUAACGAAGGAUAUAAGAAAUCACUAGCAUAUCGCUUAUGUGUGUUAUGAUAUUUGCGAGGACGAUUUAAACACACUAUAAUAUGUUCUGUAAAUUUA